rnacentral:lncRNA from 1 species
AGGUUCUCUCGUUUAUGAUUGUUAAAUAGUUAACAAACUCAUACAUAAUAUUUAGGUCUCACAUGAUAUACAAUGCCAAAUCCAUUGCUAUUUUAAAUAUACAUAGGACCAGAAUUGUUAGUACUUUCACCUACUACUUGCCACAUGACACAUUUGUGUAAAUAACAGAUAAAUAACAGGAUACUUGACAAAUAAAAUCUUAUAAAUCACAAAUAAAGAACAUAACCUCUACUA